UGUGCUAUGAGGCGAUGGGACGCGCCGCCAGUUUCCUCAACAACAACUACCUGGACCUGACGGAGACAUGCGAGUCCGGCGCGAGAGAGCAACAGAUGAACCGAGGGAGUUUGGGCCCGUACAGCUUCAUCAACCACAGAGCUAAAGUCCCAUCAGCCCCUGCAGACACCGUCAUCCCCAGCAACGACCCGGAGACGCAGGU